CAGCAGCCGCGGUAAUACGAAGGGGGCUAGCGUUGUUCGGAAUUACUGGGCGUAAAGCGCACGUAGGCGGCUUUGUAAGUUAGAGGUGAAAGCCCGGAGCUCAACUCCGGAAUUGCCUUUAAGACUGCAGAGCUAGCAGGUGAGAGAGGUGAGUGGAAUUCCGAGUGUAGAGGUGAAAUUCGUAGAUAUUGGGAAGAACACCGGUGGCGAAGGCGGCGACCUGGUCCUUGACUGACGCUGAGGCGCGAAAGCGUGGGGAGCAAACUGGAUUAGAUACCCCGGUAGUCCCUGUCUCUUAUAC
rnacentral:rRNA from 1 species